rnacentral:rRNA from 1 species
GAUGAACGCUGGCGAGAUGCUUUACACAUGCAAGUCGUACGAGAGUUUUUAAUUCAAGUGGCGGACGGGUGAGUAACACGUAAGAAUUUGCCUUUAGGAGGGGGACAACAAUUGGAACGAUUGCUAAUACCCCAUAUGCUUUCGAGUGAAAUGGAUUUUUCCGCCUAAAGAGAAGCUUGCGGCUGAUUAGCUUGUUGGUAAGGUAAUGGCUUACCAAGGCGACGAUCAGUAUCGGUUUGAGAGGCGAUCAGACACACUGGAACUNAGACACGGUCCAGACUCCUACGGGAGGCAGCAGUGGGGAAUUUUCCGCAAUGGGCGAAAGCCUGACGGAGCAAUCU